UGUGCUCAACAUUAACACCAUUAUCUAUGGCUUAUAUCAUCUGUUCACGGAGCCGAAUCACGAGGAUCCCCUCAAUCAUGACGCAGCUGCUGUAUUAAGAGACAACCCAAAGUUGUUCGAGUCCAACGUUAGAAGGGCAAUGCAUGGAGGCUAUGUUGGGCAAACGUUCUUUCCUCGCUGUAUGUAACGUCUUUGCUUCUGAAUCAACUGAUUGAAGAAGCUGAUGGUGGAAGUUUGAGGACUCUGGGACUCUGUAAAGUUUGGGUGCAAAAUCAUUUCAGGUGGUCUUUCUGCAACAGAAUAUGGGUUCAAAUGUCUUAAAAUAUAUGUAACUCGGACCAGAAAAAAAUUCUGUAUGCCAAGUGUAAACUUUGCAAUUUGUUUUUGGACAAGUUUAUUGCGUUAGACCAAUGGUGUAGACCUAUGUUUUGGAUUAACUUGUGUACAAUCUGAAAUUUUUAUUCUAUGGGAGAUUCAAGCAUGAUAAUUAUCUUAUUA